rnacentral:rRNA from 1 species
GAUGAACGCUAGCGGCAGGCUUAAUACAUGCAAGUCGAGGGGCAGCGCGGGUAGCAAUACCUGGCGGCGACCGGCAAACGGGUGCGGAACACGUACGCAACCUUCCCAUAACAGGUGAAUASCCUUCCGAAAGGGAGAUUAAUACACCGUAACAUAACGAAGUGGCAUCACUUUGUUCUUAUAGGCUUCGSCCGGUUUUGGAUGGGCGUGCGGCUGAUUAGGUAGUUGGCGGGGUAACGGCCCACCAASCCUGCGAUCAGUAACUGGUGUGAGASCMCGMCCAGUCMCMCGGSCACUGAGACACGGGCCCGACUCCUACGGGAGSCASCAGUAAGGAAUAUUGGUCAAUGGACGAAAGUCUGAMCCASCCAUSCCGCGUGAAGGAUGAAGSCCCUCUGGGUUGUAAACUUCUUUUAUCUGGGASGAAAAAAGGGAAUUCUUUCCCACUUGACGGUACCAGAGGAAUAACGCACCGGCUAACUACGUG